UGACGUUGGGCUUUGCCGGUUAUCUCGUGGUGUUUUAUUAGUCUUUAAGUUACUACUUUUCCCGGCAUUUUGAAUCGUGUACUUCACUUCAGCGAGGAUAGGGUGUCCAUAUAGUUUGGAUGGUCGUCGGGUUUCGUUAGCGGAUUUUUGGGUGCAGUGAGGUGAAGGACAGAAUGAGUCUACAGCAACCAGACGAGUUUGAAGACUACAACCCCACGAGGUGAAUGGUAACUAGACCAUUGUAAAUGAUUGACGAGUAUCUGGUGGAGUCGAUAGAUGGACAGACGCUGAAUCACAUUCUACAAUAGCAGAUAUCUUUUUAUCCUACAUCAACGGCAUUUGUAUGCCUGUUACGUGCGGUAAUAAGGAUUUCUCUGGAGUUUCAAGGCUACUGCACAAGCCGUAGAUUUGUGAACGAUUUCCUAGACAAACUUGUGAUUUCAUGAAAAUUAAUUGGCUUUCAGGAUUUAAUUUUCCCCGAAAAAUGUUUCGUUUCAUAUGUAAAUUGCGUUUGUAUAUCUGAAUGUGUGCACCUUUUCAUGCUGUCAUGGGUUUGAUGGUAGUGAUUUUGAAGUUUCCCUUAAAAUUAAAAGUCGUCAUAAAUGGAUUAUUCUUUUAAAAGCCUUUUUCAAUUUGUGUAAAAUGCUGUUGGGCCAUGAAAUUUAAAUAAAACUUAAUAAUUAACGUUAGUUAAAUGGUAUUAAGGGUUGAUUACAACGGUUUUGACCUCUACUUGGUUGUGAUUUUAUAAACGACCUUUCUAGCAUACGAGAGGGAUUACCGUCCAUACCAGAAUAGUGAGUUUAUAUAAGUAUAGAGAAGUACAGAAUUUCGCCAGCAACU